rnacentral:rRNA from 1 species
UAAUACCAGCUCCUCGAGUGGUUGGGAUGAUUAUUGGGUCUAAAGCGUCUGUAGCCGGCCGGAGUAGUUUCCCGUUAAAUCCAACGAUUCAAUCGUUGGGCUGCGGGGAAUACUCUUCGGCUUGGGGGCGGGGGAUGUCGGCGGUAGUCCCGGGGUAGGGGCGAAAUCCUAUAAUCCCGGGAGGACCACCAGUGGCGAAGGCGGCCGACAAAAACGCGCCCGACGGUGAGGGACGAAAGCUGGGGGAGCGAACGGGAUUAGAUACCCCGGUAGUCCCAGCUGUAAACGAUGCAGGCUAGGUGUUGGAACGGCUACGAGCCGGUUCAGUGCCGUAGGGAAACCGUUAAGUGUGCCGCCUGGGAAGUACGGUCGCAAGGCUA